CCUACGGGUGGCUGCAGUGGGGAAUAUUGGACAAUGGGGGCAACCCUGAUCCAGCCAUGCCGCGUGUGUGAAGAAGGCCCUCGGGUUGUAAAGCACUUUCAGUGAGUAAGAACGCCUGGUGGUUAAUACCCAUCAGGAAAGACAUCACUCACAGAAGAAGCACCGGCUAACUCCGUGCCAGCAGCCGCGGUAAUACGGAGGGUGCGAGCGUUAAUCGGAAUUACUGGGCGUAAAGCGCGCGUAGGUGGCUUGAUAAGCCGGUUGUGAAAGCCCCGGGCUCAACCUGGGAACGGCAUCCGGAACUGUCAAGCUAGAGUGCAGGAGAGGAAGGUAGAAUUCCCGGUGUAGCGGUGAAAUGCGUAGAGAUCGGGAGGAAUACCAGUGGCGAAGGCGGCCUUCUGGACUGACACUGACACUGAGGUGCGAAAGCGUGGGUAGCAAACAGGAUUAGAUACCCCAGUAGUC
rnacentral:rRNA from 1 species